CCGGGUUGGUGAACAUGUGCAGAUUCAGGGAGAGUGGUGUGCGUGAAGAGAGGAUAAGGGAAACUCCGAGACUCUUCCCCAUACUCUGCCCUAUGCGUCACUUCCAUCGGCUGUUAUCUUAUACAGAGACCCAGGGACACUGAGGAUAAAAACAUGUUCAUAGUGAGAGAGGGAAAGAACUAAUGUGAUGGACCACUGGAUAGAAUUUCAAAUGACAGAAAUUGCUUAAAAGAAUAAAUAUAAUUGAACCUAAAAUAAUAUUUAAGAUAUUCUACCACUGAACUGUAUUGAAGAGGAAAAGGAAAUAAGAACAUAAUUAACUAUUAAUUAAAUGUUUUAUUUAAUCCUCACAUUAAGACUCUGAGGUUGAUUGUAUUGUUUUCAUUUCAUAAAUGAGGAAAAUUGGGCACAGAGACUGUAAGCUUAAACCAUCUACAUAUUCAGGGCCAAGUCCAGGAAUUGAACCCACAUACACCUGGCUUGAAAGCCAGAGCUCUUGUUCCCAAUCAUUUUGUUACGUUGUGUUUAAUGAAACUCUUUCAGUCAUUUGAAUGCAAGUUAUCUGCCUCAAA